rnacentral:ncRNA from 1 species
AUCGAAGAGGCGCAGCCAACACUAGUAACUAGCUGGAGCGAUGCCAAGCAAUGAUGGUUAGUGAACAGGGCGGUUGCCGAAGCGUUCAGUCAGGCAGGACUGGAUUGGCUGGGGCGUGAUUGAAUAAGUCACGGACUGUCGCAGGACGAUAAGAGCCUGCGUUGCGCUAUC